GCGCCCGUAGCUCAAUCGGUUAGAGCAGCAGACUCAUAAUCUGUUGGUUCCAGGUUCGAGUCCUGGCGGGCGUACUA
rnacentral:tRNA from 1 species